UAUAAAAAUAUAAAUCUAAUAAUAAUAUUUAUCUAUAUAGAUAUAUAUCUAGUUAUUGGUUAUUAUAUAUAAGGGAAUUUGAUGCCAUUUCGGCAUUUUAAUAUAUUUUCUUAACAUCAAUGGAGAAAAAAAUAUAAAAACCACUAUAAAGAAAUGGUCAACAACGACAACGUCAAAAUUCAACUAUUUGAUGGAAAAAAUUAUAGUAUUUGGGAGAAGAGAAUAUUAUUGUUUUUAAAAUAGAAAAAAUACGACGAGUCUGCAACAAGAGGAAAAAGAGAAAACGAACAAUAAGCAGACCGGGAUGAACAAGAUCUGAAAACAAUGAACUAUAUUUAUUGUAGUAUUUCAAAUGAUCAAUUAAAGCUUGUGAGUGAACAAAAUAUGGGUUUGGAAAUUAUGAAAAAAUUGGACGAUCUAUACUACAAAAAAUUAUCGGCUCUACAAAUAUGUGUAAGAAAUAAACUAUCAUAGAUAGAAUGAAGUUGAAAGAUUUUGAGGACUCCAGUUAAUUUAUCACAUAAUUCGAAAAAGUGAUUAAUGAAUUAAAGAAUGCAAGUGGAAUAAAAUUGAUGAACGAGAAAAAUUAAAAUAUAUGUUGAGAACAUUACUAGACUCGCUAAGUUAUAUCAGAGAUCUGGUAGAUGCACUACGAGAAAAUGACAAUAAUUGUGAAUCGAAUUUUAGAGAAUGAAAAUAAUUGUGAGUGAAAUUUUAGGAGUAGUAUUGAGGGCGUUUUUCCUUCAGAGCUCGGCUCAAUCUCAUCAAUUGUGUUCGGUAGAGAGUUCUACUGAUUGUUUCGCUUGGAUUAAGCAACUCGUAAUACACCACACCCAGCUGAUCCCAUCAAAUACACAGCAUGAGUUUUUUCCAUGAAUAUUCGGUUUUGCUGUGGAUGUUGAUGCGUGGCCAGCUAACAGCAUUUCACUCAUGCAUAAUCGGCGUUCAACAUCUCUCGGCUUUAAUUCGUAUGGAACCUAAUUACCUUGUUUAUGAAUCAUUCCUAACGAUUUUAAACGAUGUGAGACUGCUUGCUGAGUAACUUCUAAAAUAAAAUUUUCGUUACAUACAUGCGCAUCGUUCGGAAGGGCACAUAAACAACAUUUAAUAAAA
rnacentral:lncRNA from 1 species